CGGCAACAGCUCAAAUUUGAAAUCUGGCGCCUUAGGUGUCCGAGUUGUAAUUUGUAGAGGGAGUCUCGGGUUGAGGGUCGGUCCAAGUCCCUUGGAACAGGAUACCGCAGAGGGUGAGAGUCCCGUAUCCGGCCGACGCCGACGCCCGUGUGAGGCCCCUUCGAC
rnacentral:rRNA from 1 species